GAUGAACGCUGGCGGCGUGCUUAACACAUGCAAGUCGAACGAAGCGCUUAAGAUUGAUUCUUCGGAUGAUUUCUUUUGCGACUUAGUGGCGGACGGGUGAGUAACGCGUGGGUAACCUGCCUCACACAGGGGGAUAACAGUUAGAAAUGACUGCUAAUACCGCAUAACCCGAUAGGAUCGCAUGAUCCAGACGGAAAAGAUUUAUCGGUGUGAGAUGGACCCGCGUCUGAUUAGCUAGUUGGGGAGGUAACGGCCCACUAAGGCGACGAUCAGGAGCCGGCCUGAGAGGGUGAACGGCCACAUUGGGACUGAGACACGGCCCAAACUCCUACGGGAGGCAGCAGUGGGGAAUAUUGCACAAUGGGGGAAACCCUGGUGCAGCGACGCCGCGUGAGUGAAGAAGUAUUUCGGUAUGUAAAGCUCUAUCAGCAGGGAAGAAAAUGACGGUACCUGACUAAGAAGCCCCGGCUAAAUACGUGCCAGCAGCCGCCGCGG
rnacentral:rRNA from 1 species